ACAGUUUAUUUUAUGAUGAUGUUUGGUAGGUCAGAGAGCAGCUUUUGAGAGUGAUCGCGCUUUGUUUAUACUCUUUCAGAAGAUUUAUUCAUCAUUAAUUCCAAAAGAAAUACCAUUAGAGCCCGGCCAACUUUCCCGAUUUGUGUGGGAUUCUCCCGAUUUGAAGCAGUUGAAAAGGCAUAUCCCGAUCGGGAUUGCAAAAAUACCCCGAAAUCCCGAUUUUCUAAAAAUAUCUCCCAUUUUACGACAACAAACCCCCAUUUCCAACCGGAAUUUGAAAUCCUGCGUCAUUUCUGAACUGGCCAAUCAGAAAUCGGGACAAUAGUCAGCCAUUGUUGUUUACCUUGUGUUGCAUGGAAUCGGCUGGUGUAAUUUACAUGGUCUGCCUGUGUCGGGGUGCUUUAUUGGACAGUGCGAAGCAUGUUUUGAUAGUAAUCAAUCGGGAAGACGGAUUUCAAUUUGACAUAUCCUUUACACAAACGUGAAUGACAACGAUGAUAGGCCUAGUGUCGCCACCAAACAAUCGGACAUUCCCGAAUUUUGCCUCUCGCUGACAGCACCCAAAAUAUGCAAUAAAAUGUCAUGGGUGCAAAGGUUUUGUUCGCAAACUUCAUAGCAGGGCAGAUCACUCCUUUUCUGGUUGCAAUGCAGAUUGUUCCACCAGACUCUGCAAGCCCAUGUUUACAGACAAGCAAGAUCGCCUUUGAAGUCGUACCUAAAUGCAUGUGCUUUAAUUAAAAUUUUGAUAUAUAGACCAGCCAAUAUUUAUAUGGUGUAAAAGGAUGCAACUUUAAGUAUUAUUUGAUAAUAUGUAUAUAUGUAUGUGACUUGUUGUUGGAGAGGAUUUUUUUGCACAGAAUAUAGAUGAUUUUAAUAAAAUAUUUAUGUAUAUCUUUCAAA